rnacentral:rRNA from 1 species
GACGAACGCUGGCGGCGUGCUUAACACAUGCAAGUCGACCGGAAAGGCCCUGCUUUUGUGGGGUGCUCGAGUGGCGAACGGGUGAGUAACCCGUGAGUAACCUGCCCUUGACUUUGGGAUAACUUCCGGAAACUGGGGCUAAUACCGGAUAGGAGCUCCUGCUGCAUGGUGGGGGUUGGAAAGUUUCGGCGGUUGGGGAUGGACUCGCGGCUUAUCAGCUUGUUGGUGGGGUAGUGGCUUACCAAGGCUUUGACGGGUAGCCGGCCUGAGAGGGUGACCGGCCACAUUGGGACUGAGAUACGGCCCAGACUCCUACGGGAGGCAGCAGUGGGGAAUAUUGCACAAUGGGCGGAAGCCUGAUGCAGCAACGCCGCGUGCGGGAUGACGGCCUUCGGGUUGUAAACCGCUUUCGCCUGUGACGAAGCGUGAGUGACGGUAAUGGGUAAAGAAGCACCGGCUAACUACGUG